CCUACGGGAGGCAGCAGUGGGGAAUAUUGGGCAAUGGAGGAAACUCUGACCCAGCGACGCCGCGUGCGGGAUGAAGGCCUUCGGGUUGUAAACCGCUUUCAGUAGGGAAGAAGCGAAAGUGACGGUACCUACAGAAGAAGCACCGGCUAACUAUGUGCCAGCAGCCGCGGUAAUACAUAGGGUGCAGGCGUUGUCCGGAAUUAUUGGGCGUAAAGAGCUCGUAGGUGGUUCGUCACGUCGGAUGUGAAAAUCUGGGGCUCAACCCCAGACCUGCAUUCGAUACGGGCGAUCUAGAGUGUGGUAGGGGAGACUGGAAUUCCUGGUGUAGCGGUGGAAUGCGCAGAUAUCAGGAGGAACACCAAUGGCGAAGGCAGGUCUCUGGGCCAUUACUGACACUGAGGAGCGAAAGCGUGGGGAGCGAAUAGGAUUAGAUACCCUGGUAGUCCACGCCGUAAACGGUGGGCACUAGUUGUGGGAACCUUCCACGGUUUCUGCGACGCAGCUACGCAUAAGUGCCCGCCCGUCGGGAGGUACGAUCGCAGAUUAAACUACAAUAGAAGUUAGACGGCGUGAGACGUGCCGACGGACGACCGACCGAGGGGAGGUUAGG
rnacentral:rRNA from 1 species